UUACGGCCAUAUUGUGUCUGAACACCACUUCCAGUGUGACCACCGAAGUUAAGCAAAGUCGAGCCUGGUCAGUACCUAGAUGGGUGAUCGCAUGGGGAAUAUCAGGUGUUGU